UGGGGGCUGGGAUCCCAGUUAGACACAGUGCAAACAGUAAGGUUCCAGCCAGCCACCUGAUGGACUCUUCCAGUAUUUUGUUUCCGGUACUGACGGAGUUAACUGGGUAUCACUACUAAAAAUAAAGAGCAGAAGCACAUAUCCACUGAUGGCCACACGCAGCUCGUCUGAGACCUUCGUGAUAGUAGAAAGAACAGGGAUGUCGGUGAACAACCGACUGCAACUAGGAUGGGGCACCCGGGGCCGCAGGUGCCGUACUUUCCCGGGGGACUCGAAUAGUAAGUGAGAAGAACGUUCCCGUUGGAAGGCUACAGUCAGCACCAGACAAGGACUGUGAAAGUGGCAGGAAACAGUACACACCGGCACCGCCUCAGUAAAUCACGGGGCGGGUGGGCCUGGAGCCGGGUUUGGAAGGCGCGUCCGAUUGUGGCACUGCGGUGCCAUUCUGAGCGCUUGCUUACCCGCCCAAGUACUGCAGAGAGAAAAGCUCUGCUGCCAAGAUCGGAGACAUAGGAAAAGAAGAAGCAACCUAACCAUGUGUACCCUGCUUUUUUGCUGGAAAACCUAGCACUCAUUUCUCGUGGACACCCAUAAAAAUUGUCAGAGCGCUGGAACGGGGGGCUUUAAGUUGUAUGCCCGCCGAUGCCAUGAAAUAUCUGACUGCAACACCACUGUUUGAACGUUUGGAUUAAUUUUGUGGUUAACCUUUUAAGUUCUGUUGGAUAUAGUGAAAGGCUCUGUGGCAUUGGACUCUAUCAGAAACGGGAUGAAGGAAGGAGGUUCGAACCUUCGUCCCAAAGUAUGAAUGAGCUUUAAUUGAGGUAACUAAGUACAUUACAUGGGAGAAAAAAUGCUGACCGCAUUAAAUGGCAACAGAUGAAAUGCAGGCACUGUACAUCAGUCAUGGUGUUUGGUCACACUUACGAGUGGUGCCUUCUAACAGGCAAACUUCAUCAUAGUAAGGUGCAGUUAGUAGGAAACAAGGGCUAUAAAUAAGUAAGCCAGUUCAGAACAAGAUCCCAGUUAUGUAGCUUAACUCUACAGUACCAGUAGAGCGGUGAGGCGACGUGCUGUAAAAUCUGGACUUUGUGUUUUUAACUCGUAAACAGGAGGAGAGCUGUGAAACUUAGCUUCGACCGUCUUCAAUUUGUUGCAUACAUAUAAAGCAGCUCUGCUCCAGUAUAACAAGUGCGAGGACCCUGCCAACACUGGGCACCAUACUAGGGGAGCACCUGAUUCUGUUCCAUUAACUGGUUGAAAAGUAGUACACAGACGAGGGGAGAAAGGGCCAAAAUGACAUGUUAUUAAUGAGCCCUUUAAUUUGCAAGCUGGCAGAAUGGUGCAGGCCUUGACUUCUUUUCUGUUAUCCUGCCAGGGGGUCAUGGUAGCUUGCUCUCACUACAGAGUUCCUCUUUAACUGCUCUCAGUUCUGACUAAUUUUGGAACAAGCACACAGUACUAUAUUUCCUUUGCAGCAACGAUUCCUUCUAGAGAAUGCUGGCUAGCUGGAAAGUGCUGCAGGCUGGUACAGGAGCUUUUGUUUGCUGCCUUCUCAUCAUCUGGAUUGUAUAUACCCACCUGACUGGAGAAGGUCACCUGGCUGUGGACACCUGUGAAAUUGUCACACUAGAUAUGGACAACAGUCAGCCACGAAGAAUGAUUGCCAGACAGACAGCAAGAUGUGCCUGUCGGAGGGGACAGAUAGCUGGCACAACGCAAGCAAAACCUGCCUGUGUGGAUGCUCGAAUUAUGAGAACCAAGCAGUGGUGUGAGAUGACACCAUGUUCUGAAGGAGAGGUCUGUCAUUUACUUUUCAACAGAUCUGGAUGGACAUGCACGAAGGGGAGUGGUAAUUCAAAAACAGUGACAAUCUCUGCAGAUGGUGAUUGCAGCUGUGAAAUUCAAAGACUUUUGCUUCUUGGAAGGAAAGCUAUGACACAUCUGGGUUGGUGGUUAUGGAUUCCUACAUCAUGAAAGUAUUUGGGACCGAGGCCUAAAGUUUCUGCAGACACCUAUAAUCCCUGGCUAUUCAAAGAGGUCUUCAAAGCCAGGAGAGCUGCAUGAAGCUUCAGCUGGAUCUUCUGAAGCCCACUGUCCAAGGAGCUGCAGUUAUGGUGAUCUGUGGAGAAAUGCGUGCAAGCUGAUGAACCAUCUUUAUGGAGGGGUACUAUGUAGGAUUUUUUUCCAUAAGGUUUGCUGGAACACCACAAAUUAAUACUUCUUGGCAGUGUUACUAGUGACGAGACCUAGUAAGCCUGGUUGUAAAGGAGCAACACUGCUUGAUAACACACAUCCACUGGAAAGUUGGACCCAAACAUUAAAGGAAAAAAAAAAAACAAGCAGAUGACAAGUGCAAUACAAGGUUUCUUCAGCUUGUGCUCUAGGAUACUGUAUGUGGCACCUAGAUGUGGAGCUCGUAAGAAGAGGGUCUGGGAAGGAAGCAAAAGAAACAGAGACAUAUUUGUGUCCUACUGGAUAAGGCUGUCAAACAGCUGUGCUAAGGAAAAUACUUCUUGUUUACCUUCUGAAUGUCCCCAUAUCAUAAUAAAGACUAGUGACUGCUUUC